CAACUUCCACCUGGCUUACCUCCNUCAGUUAUGCGUCAUGACUUGUAUCGUCUUGAGCGUAUUGUGGGUUUCCUGUGUUGCAUACCUAAUAAUGGAAUCGUUUUGGUUGAUUGAAGUCCCUUUUCAUCACGUGUUKCCUUUGCGACGCAUGAUGAACCUCGAAGCGGUCUCUAUGUUCCACCACGUUGAUGCUAGUGUCUUGAUGUUGUGGCCCAUUGAGUGUUGCUUGGUUUCGUGGAUACAGAACAUGAUUUGGGCAUAGGGUCACCUGUGACUCUUGUUUUGUCCUUUAUCAGUGUUCUCUAUAACGACGGUUCAUGCGCGCCUAGGCUCGUACCUGCGCGAUGUUCUUUGUCGAAGAGGAAUGCUACCUGGUUGAUCCUGCCAGUAGUCAUAUGCUUGUCUCAAAGAUUAAGCCAUGC
rnacentral:misc_RNA from 1 species